rnacentral:lncRNA from 10 species
GUUCAAGUGAAUAUUCCAGACUAAAAUAUGUGUCUUUUUGAAGGUCCUUAAGCCUUACAUACUUAAUUGUGUAAUUUGGCAAAUAUUUGCUGUUGUGUUGUGUCAAGUCCUGUGAUAGAGACAGUUCCUACCUUUCUGGAGCUUUCACAGUGUGACUCAUUUCAGUACGUAAGUCGGAGCCAGUUUUAAUAGAAUGUUCUCUGGUUGACUUCUGUUGUAAGGAAUAAUUUCAUUUCAUGUCUGGGUCAAUAUGUGAAAGAUUAAAUUAUUAGGGCAAACUGAAAAAAAAAAUCUAGUUUUACCCCCCCACCACCACAUUCCCAAAAUAAUUUAGCAUGGUUUAUAACAAAUAUCAAGCAACAAUAAUUAGAAGCAGAUAAAAGCUCAGCAAGUAGAGGGCAAGAAUAAAAAACCUAACUGUUAGAUCUCAUGCUGUAGGCUCCAGCCAAGUUGUCUCUGAGCUUCCUAAGAGCAAAGAGCCAACUGGCAAGUUAGUAAUCAGGCAAUUGCCAUAAUUUUCUAAUGGAGGAGGGGAGUGGUCAUGUGCAUUCUAAGCUCUUUAAAGCCGAGGAGUAAGCUUUCUUUCCUUCAUGAUCUCAAGUACUCUACUUUGAAGAAAGGAAUGGAACAGAAGGUGUCUGCAUAACUAAAUGGGGAUCUAGAGAAAGUGGAGACUGCCUCUGGAGCAGGGAGGUGAGUGGACCAGAUCACUGUGGGCCUGGGCCUACUCAGCUGAUUUUCAAGCUAAAACCAGGGGUAACUUUUCCUCUUGAGACGAAAGCCAUGCUCACAUUCUGUGAACAGCCAGAGAUGUGUUCGAAAGGCUUACUUUUAUUUUGUACUAGAAAAGAUUGUCUUUCCAAAAUUUACCUCGUAUUCAUAAACUGGAAAGUUCUGAUGGCAAUAUUUUGUUACAAAAUUGUCAUUAAUCACAAUCCAGGAUUAUGCCACCAUGACUAGAAGGCCCCCUAAUGGAGUUUAUCUGCACUGCAAGGGGCCAGUUGUCUCAGAAUCAUCCUCCGUUGACAUCUCCAUCUCCAGGACAGCUCCACACUAAUCUGUUUCAAAGACAAAAUCCAGUCUAAUCAGUUUGAUGUAUGUUUCUGGGAAUAGAGCCGAAUGUUGUAGCUGAUGGAAUGGAGUCUCAUACCAUUGAUUUUGCAGCUGGACAAGUGCCCUGCCAUGUUACUGCCACUCUUUAAGGCAGAAUAGAGCACAUUGUAUCAUUUAUAGGCCUCUCACAGUGAGAAAUAUGUGGAACUUUGGAAAUCAGAAUCUAAAACUGCAGUCCAAUGGGGUAGCCACUAUUCACAUGUGCUAUUGAGUACCUAAAAUGUGGCUAGACCAAGUUGACAUGUGCUGAAGGGUGAAAAACACCAGGAGUGAAGAAUUAACUUGAAAAAAAUGUAAACUAUCUCAAUUUUAUAUUGAUUA